rnacentral:rRNA from 1 species
AACGAACGCUGGCGGCAGGCCUAACACAUGCAAGUCGAGCGAAGCCUUCGGGCUUAGCGGCGGACGGGUGAGUAACGCGUGGGAACGUGCCCUUUGGUACGGAAUAGCCCCGGGAAACUGGGAGUAAUACCGUAUGUGGUCGAGAGACGAAAGAUUUAUCGCCAAAGGAUCGGCCCGCGUUGGAUUAGGUAGUUGGUGGGGUAAUGGCCUACCAAGCCGACGAUCCAUAGCUGGUUUGAGAGGAUGAUCAGCCACACUGGGACUGAGACACGGCCCAGACUCCGACGGGAGGCAGCAGUGGGGAAUCUUAGACAAGGGGGGAAACCCUGAUCUAGCCAUGCCGCGCGAUCGAUGAAGGCCUUAGGGUUGUAAAGAUCUUUCAGUGGGGAAGAUAAUGACUGUACCCACAGAAGAAGCCCCGGCUAACUCCGUGCCAGCCGCCGCAGUAAGAC